rnacentral:tRNA from 1 species
GGGAGUGGAUGGGGCCUGGUGGCUCUCGCGGACUUCAAAUCCGCUGGCCCCGAUGGAGCGAUCGGGGUGGUGGGUUCGACUCCCUCCCACUCCCGCCA